UGGGGAAUCUUGGACAAUGGGGGCAACCCUGAUCCAGCCAUGCCGCGUGAGUGAUGAAGGCCUUAGGGUCGUAAAGCUCUUUCGCCUGUGAAGAUAAUGACGGUAGCAGGUAAAGAAACCCCGGCUAACUCCGUGCCAGCAGCCGCGGUAAUACGGAGGGGGCUAGCGUUGUUCGGAAUUACUGGGCGUAAAGCGCACGUAGGCGGACCAGAAAGUUGGGGGUGAAAUCCCGGGGGCUCAACCCCGGAACUGCCUCCAAAACUAUUGGUCUAGAGUUCGAGAGAGGUGAGUGGAAUUCCAAGUGUAGAGGUGAAAUUCGUAGAUAUUUGGAGGAACACCAGUGGCGAAGGCGGCUCACUGGCUCGAUACUGACGCUGAGGUGCGAAAGUGUGGGGAGCAAACAGGAUUAGAUACCCUGGUAGUCCACACCGUAAAACGAUGAAUGCCAGUCGUCGGGUAGCAUGCUAUUCGGUGACACACCUAACGGAUUAAGCAC
rnacentral:rRNA from 1 species